CACAAUGGUGCCUUCUGACCUCAGGUUUCAGCAGCAAAACUCAUUACAAACCGAGGGUUCAAAUUCAGAUUUGUGAGUGAAAAUGGAGUUGUGGUUGGGUGAUGAAACUGUGGUCUCAUGCUUUCAGAUGAUCACAAACUCCAACCUCUGGUACAUUUAUCUCUUUCUGACAUUACGUCUGAAUGAGGCCUCAGAAAAUCUGACUGCUGUCAGAGGAAAAUUUCCACAACGAAUUCAUAAUUACAAGCACAAGUCAUGCUGGUAAGCACAGGGAAGUCUCGAAAGCCAGUGGAUACUGUUGGGCAAGGACUGGAGAAACCUAGAUUCUAACCAGGCGCGUAACAAUGAUCGGGCAAGGGGAGACAGUUGUCUGGGGGCCCCACUGCCUGGAGGGGCCCCCCAGAGGCACCUCACGUGACUCCUCAUUGCCCCCUGCCCAGCCCCAAGGCCCCUCAGCCACUUGCCCUGUUCGCCGUCUCUCCUGCUUGUUCUGCUGGCCCGCAGUCGAAGCAGCAGACAAGCUGCAAAGAGCUCCUUUUCUGCCGCCUCUCAGCUGAUCGGCGGGUGGGCGGGGCUUCCACGGAGGUCUGGUGUAGGCCUCUGUGAAGCCUGAACUCCAGUAGGGCCCAAGCCAGCCAGGAAGGAGGAGGCAGCCAGAGUGGCCACCGCUGUGCUCUGCAGCAGAAGACCCCCUGCUGCCAGGCCUACCACCUCUGACCUUGGAGAGCAAUGCCACCCACCCACAGAACCUCACCUUAUUACUCUGCAAUGCCAGGUGCAAAUGGUUACCAGGGUGAUGGAGACACUCUGCGUUGGAGCUCCAUAUCACGUGUGAUUUCUUGCGACAAGUUGCUGUACCACAAGUUGGGAUUCCGUGUCACAUGCCUCAAGGCAAUUAACCCACCCUGCACUCACAGAGAGCUUGCGGUGAGAACUGUGAGUUUGCUGCACUUAAAAUUCCCUGACAGUUCUCCUAAUGGGGGGUGAGGGAGGCAGUCACAAGUGCCAAGCCUGGCCUAUUAAUGAUGCGCUCUGAGAUCAAACCUCCCAUUUCUAAGUCAGAUGUACAAGACAAAGAACAAGCUACUUACUGGUUUCUUAAAACAAAAUGUAUACAACCAUUAAUUUGAACAGAGAGGAAGACAACAUCAGACCAUCAGUCCUCAUAGGAUUUGGAUCUUAAAGGUGCUGCUUCUUAGUCUGUAUGGGGCCCCUUGCAAUGAGAAAGAAGCUAUUCCAGAGAUGAUAUGCCUUCCACACUGUCAAAGGAACAUUUCUUCUGUCACUCUUCCCAGUACCAGUCAGGAUAUGCACAGGAAGGCUGUGGCUGCAACAUAGCCACUUUUCUGUUUGGGUGUGUAUGUGUGUAUCACACAGCCGGUAGAAAGGAAGAGAUAAUUUUUGCUUCUGAAGAUUAUUCAUGGUAAUAUCAAGGUAGCAACAUUCUACCUCCAUUUGGCUGAAUCUACCUCAACAUUUCCCUCACAGGCUACAAUAAAAACAUUUCUUAAAUUCAAUUUAAAAAACAAAUCCAAGAAGCUUGUUUCAUGCCUGCAGCCACCUGCCAGUUCCAAGAAGAACCAGCUUUCCCUCAUUUUUCAGAAAAGCAGUAAUCAAUCAGUUCUUCUCGGAAAGCAAGACAGCCAGCAGUUGGCGCUGUAGAAACUGUGUCAGGACCUUGCUCUGUGUUUGAACACAAUGUGAAUUCAUGUGGGAAGGAAACCAGAAGUCACCACUAGAGUGUGGAGGAUGCACAAACUUGCACUUGGAUCUUGCUAAAAGCUUCUCACAGAGCACUUCUUAACUGCCAUCUGGAAGGACCCUGAGUUUGCUAACUCAGUGAAGGCCUGACUCAACUGAGCAAAAACUUAGCGUUUCUUUGAAUGUUUUCUUGUAAACACUGUAGAAUCCAAGGGAAAGAGUUGUGAUAUGCAAGGACAAGGCACUGUGGAGUGGAAUCAGAAAUAUGAAUAGCUUAAUGAAAUAGAUAUUACUAGUUGCGCCGGGCUCAGAGCAUCUGCGUCUCUAGUUUGACCACGGCCGCCAUUUUCUUUCCCCGCCCACCGCCAUCCUGCUGCCAUCAUCAUUUCCUUCCCUGCCUGCCAACCAACACCAUCACCAUUUUCUUCCCCCACCCCCACCAUUUUCUUCCUCACCCCAUACUGUUUUGUUUCCUGCCUCAUCUGCAAACCUGUCCGCUGACACUGCUGCUUUCCUCUCUUCCUGCCAGCAGCUUGCUUGUUGUCUCUCGCAAGAGCUGCCACACAUGAGAUUAGCAACAGGUAUCACACACACACACACACACACACACACACACACAGAGGCAAGUGCAGACUGCUUUUCAGUGCUCCUGCUGCUGGCUUGUUAGCCCUGCCUCUACCUCAGGACUGGAAUGAAAAGCCCCAUUUAAAAGCAGGCCUGGGUUGAGGAAUUGAUUAACCAAAAAAACAUCACAAGUACCACCCACCACAUACAGCUAUAGACAGGACUGCGGCUAUGAUGGGGCUGUCACUCACAUGGCCCGGGAUGGGGGCUGUGAAGAGUUUACAUGAAAGGGAUUCCUCUACCUAAGCUUUAGAUCAGUUGAAUCAAGGAGCUUCCCUGAGUCUGUUACACAAGCUCAAGAAGUGCAUCGUGUGCAAAUUAAAAUGACUGUUUCAGUUUAGCUCUAGUGCCAUCACACAUGUCUCUAGGUGCAUGGGGAAGCAGAGGGACACACAUCUAUCCUGCCACUAUGGGAAUUAGAGUACUGGCCCAGUUGGUAUCUGAACCAGGCCACAGUGUCCAAUGGGAACUCACAUCUUUCCUAAACACCCCUGAGAAGGCAGUACAAUGCACGUAGCACACUCAUUAAAGCAGUAUUCUCAAGUUCAAAGCAUUUCAAGUAUAAUUAAGAUGCAUUGUUAUAAUGAAGGUGCUUAUAAUAAGAUGUGAUGUUGCUGGGAGCCACGGA